GGUGUAGCGGUGAAAUGCGUAGAGAUCUGGAGGAAUACCGAUGGCGAAAGGCAGCCUUCUGGCAUCAUAUUGACACUGAGGUUCGAAAGCGUGGGUAGCAAACAGGAUUAGAUACCCUGGUAGUCCACGCCGUAAACGAUGUCUACUAGUCGUUGGGUCCCUUGAGGACUUAGUGACGCAGCUAACGCAAUAAGUAGACCGCCUGGGGAGUACGGCCGCAAGGUUAAAACUCAAAUGAAUUGACGGGGGCCCGCACAAGCGGUGGAGCAUGUGGUUUAAUUCGAUGCAACGCAAAGAACCUUACCUGGUCUUGACAUAUCUAGAAUCCUGCAGAGAUGCGGGAGUGCCUUCGGGAAUUAGAAUACAGGUGCUGCAUGGCUGUCGUCAGCUCGUGUCGUGAGAUGUUGGGUUAAGUCCCGCAACGAGCGCAGCCCUUGUCCUUAGUUACCAGCGGGUUAAGCCGGGAACUCUAAGGAUACUGCCAGUGACAAACUGGAGGAAGGCGGGGACGACGUCAAGUCAUCAUGGCCCUUACGACCAGGGCUACACACGUGCUACAAUGGUAGGUACAGAGGGCAGCUACACAGCGAUGUGAUGCGAAUCUCAAAAAGCCCAUCGUAGUCCAGAUUGGAGUCUGCAACUCGACUCCAUGAAGUAGGAAUCGCUAGUAAUCGCGGAUCAGAAUGCCGCGGUGAAUACGUUCCCGGGCCUUGUACACACCGCCCGUCACACCAUGGGAGUUGAUUGCCCCAGAAGUGGAUAGCCUAACCGUAAGGAAGGCGUUCACCACGGUGUGGUUGAUGACUGGGGUG
rnacentral:rRNA from 1 species